AUAGCGUAUAUUUAAGUUGUUGCAGUUAAAAAGCUCGUAGUUGGAUUUCGGGCGGGGCCUGCCGGUCCGCCUCUGGUGUGCACUGGCAUGGGCUCGCCUCGCUGUCGGGGACGGGCUCCUGGGCUUCACUGUCCGGGACUCGGAGUCGACGAGGUUACUUUGAGUAAAUUAGAGUGUUCAAAGCAGGCCUACGCUCUGAAUACGUUAGCAUGGAAUAACACGAUAGGACUCUGGCCUAUCUUGUUGGUCUGUGGGACCGGAGUAAUGAUUAAGAGGGACGGUCGGGGGCAUUCGUAUUUCAUUGUCAGAGGUGAAAUUCUUGGAUUUAUGAAAGACGAACUUCUG
rnacentral:rRNA from 2 species